rnacentral:rRNA from 1 species
AACGAACGCUGGCGGCAUGCCUAACACAUGCAAGUCGAACGUGAUCCGGGGGCUUGCUCCGGUGAAAGUGGCGGACGGGUGAGUAACGCGUGGGAACCUGCCCAGUGGUCGGGGAUAACUGCGGGAAACUGCAGCUAAUACCCGGUAAGCCCUCGAGCGUUGGCGUUGGGGGAAAGAUUGAUCGCCAUUGGAGGGGCCCGCGUCGGAUUAGGUAGUUGGUGGGGUACGGCCUACCAACGCCUACGAUCCGUAGCUGGUCUGAGAGGAUGAUCAGCCACACUGGGACUGAGAUACGGCCCAGACUCCUACGGGAGGCAGCAGUGGGGAAUAUUGGACAAUGGGCGCAAGCCUGAUCCAGC